GUUACUUAAGAACUCUUUGUGUCCGUCCUUCUAAUGGCACCAAUGCCUCCCAUCAAGCCUUAAACCUCACCUAAAUUAUGUCAUUGGGCUUUUUCAUCCAUAAAUGAGCAUACCAGGUGCCAAGGGAAUCAAUAUGCCCUUUCACAUGCCUUAGACCAGUGUCCAAAGAAAGAUAAAAUGUCAUUCUAUAAAAGCUUUCUCCCAGCAUUUCUAUUCCUUUACAUUUUGUGCCAUAUACAACUAUGGUUUUUUAAUGAUCUUAUUUCUGACAGCUGUUUUUCUUCAGAACAUCAACAGCUUCUUUCCUAAACUAGUUUUAGUAUGAGUUCCAUUUCUAAUUAGCUCAAAUUAAAGUCCUAGAGAGCAGCGAGGUAAUAUUUAAACCCUCAGGCUAAAAUUUCGGAGUAGGUGCAGAAUGUUGACUCUAAAUGAGUUUUUCCUGUGACAUAACACGCAUGAAAGCAGGAUUUCUUUCAUGUGUGAAAUGUCUUAAAUCAGACUUACCCUUUGUGAUUCUCUUUUAGCUUUAAAUGUCAUUUAAGAAAAAAAAAGAAAAGAAAAUUAAGCAUGACAUUCCCCAAUAUCCUCUGCUCACUGUGUUAUAAUCCCUAUCACUCCCCAAGUGAAUUGGAGAGAGUGAAGACACAAUGAACAGAAACUUCCCUGAUGCUACACAGAGGAAGUGUUCUCCAGGACCAUACAGCCUCCACCAUGUCCAUCUACGAAGGGCUGUGGCAAGCCAUAUACACAAAGAUGCCUGUUUCCUGUCUUCUCGGUUAAAAACAAAAACAAAACACAAAGCCAAGCUGCCAUGGGUUGCAGAAUGCCAGUCCUUAAGUAGUGUUGUCCAUGGGUAAACAGGUGACGGAUAAGGGCAAUUUCAAGAAAUAACAAACUCAAGGCAUGAAUGUGGUUAUCCAAACAUCAAGGGACUCCUUCAUUUGCAUUUGGAUAAUUGUGCAGUUAUAUGAUUUGUUACAUGGAGACCAGAUGGAAGUAAGAGAGCUCAUCCUCAACGUCCUGUACCUCUGGAAGUCUUUACACACAUGCUGGAGAGAUGGAUGAGAGUUCAUGAGCAUCAAACCACCAUGGAUUUCAUAAUCAAUUCCUAAUAUCUGAAUAAGUGCCGAAAAGUCACAGGCAUCUAGAAGUGUGGCCCAAGUCUUGUUCUUCAAUCGGCCCACCCAUUAUCCCUAUGUAUCUCGAUUUUGUUAUCUAAAAGAUCACAUGAUGGAGGAUGUAAGCAAGUAGCACAGCCAAGACCCAGUUUACAGUGUCUAGUACCUAACAGACUCUUGACACGUUUCACUUGCCCUUGAGUCAAUCUUUCCAUGUCACUGAAUAUUCUUCCACAACAUGAUUUUAAUGGAUAUAGUCGUCCAUUGUUUAAAUGUACCAUUAUUGACCAAUGUAAAAAUGUUCUUUUACCUCAAAUUUUUAUAUGUAAAACAAAAACAUGUUUGAGGACUAAACCCACACUGUAGUAUAAAUUAAACUGGAUGUAGGCCAGGCAUGGUGAGUCACACCUAUAGUCCCAGCACUUUGGGAAACCAAGACAGGAGGAUGGCUUGAAGCCAGGAGCUCAAGAGCAGCCUGGGCAAUACAGCAAGACCUCAUCUCUAC
rnacentral:lncRNA from 1 species